GGAAAGGAAGAAGGAAGAAAUGGAUAAAGGGAAGGAGGGUGAACGAAAAGGAAAAUAAUGCACAUUUCAACCAAUACCAGGAAUGAAUAAAAUUGAGUUUGCAUAUAUGAUUAGGAAGAGACGGAAUACGUAAUAUCUCUGGUCAGUUGUUUUUUGGUUCCACAUUUAGAACUGUUUGGAUGAAAGCAACAUUUCCCAGCAACAGCACAGAAGUCCAAAAGCAAAUAUGUUAUUUCUACUCAUAAAAUUUCACAUAUAAGAAGGAAGCUAUUCUUCCUAUGCUUUUGAAGGUUCAGAUUUUUUGAUAGUGCUAGUGGGAAGUUAACAGUUGAUCUUUAACGCUGAUGAUUAACAUGUCAAUUCCUAACAUUCAUCAUUUAUUUCUCUCUGGCUUUUUACUCAAGUAAUUUAGAAUCGUGCUCUUCAGUAGUUUGGCGCUGCAGUCAAAAAACCCAAAAACUAGCUUGGCAAUACAUCAACCUAGGAUAUGCUUGUGCACAAAUGACAGCUUUCAAAAGGUCUACUUCUACACAUGCCACAGGCUCUGCAAUGCAAGAAUGCAGCACCACUGCAUGUCCCCUGCACACACUGUAUGUCCCAGGGAGCUCCACAGCCUGCAUGUGAAUCAGUGAUAGCCAUGGCACUGAAUCUGAACUCACUAAAUGAAUCCUGUUUGGAUCCAGUUGGGAUUGUUAGAGCAUGACAGAAAGACUUCGCUAGCAAAAGCAGUAACUUCAGUCUUUAUUUCUCCAGACCUAUGGAUCUGGGCUUUAGCCCUGAUUACAUUCCUUUCUAUUCCUUAAAUUAAAACAAUGUAGCUUCAGCCUGUGCAAAUAUACAUAAAUAAGCACUCAGAGACUGCCUUAUGUGAACGCACAAUGCAAACAAGAUUUAAAAUGCAAGCAAGUGCCUCUGUAGCAAUAUCAGUAACAGCCAGACAUUUUAUUCUGAGCUGAUAACUGAUUUUGAGAAAAGACAAGCCACUGCCGUGCUGGAUGUGGCCUCCCACAGCCCUCUGAGGGUAGCCAUGGUUACAGACUGUAAGGGCACAGCCAGGCUUGUUGUCUCUUCCCCCAGUCUUCUAAACCAGUGUUGGUACUCACUGUACUUCACUGCACCUCAAAUUACCCUGUGGCAUCUUGUCUUGUCUCAUGGCACCUCAAGCCUCAUUUCUUGUGACCUCAUCACGGGGUUACUCAAAUUUGUUGUAAGCGUUAAGAGUUUACAGCUUAAACAAGGAUAAAUUUAAGCCAAGGCAUAAUAAUUGCAAUAGAGCUGACAAUAUAUGCUUCAUCCUUUCUACCUGCAAAGACUUACUGAGAGUGAAUAGAAAAAAAAUAAUAAUAAAAUUAAAAAAAAA